rnacentral:rRNA from 1 species
UGGCUCAGAUUGAACGCUGGCGGCAGGCCUAACACAUGCAAGUCGAGCGGCAGCACGGGUACUUGUACCUGGUGGCGAGCGGCGGACGGGUGAGUAAUGCCUAGGAAUCUGCCUGGUAGUGGGGGAUAACGUUCGGAAACGAACGCUAAUACCGCAUACGUCCUACGGGAGAAAGCAGGGGACCUUCGGGCCUUGCGCUAUCAGAUGAGCCUAGGUCGGAUUAGCUAGUUGGUGAGGUAAUGGCUCACCAAGGCGACGAUCCGUAACUGGUCUGAGAGGAUGAUCAGUCACACUGGAACUGAGACACGGUCCAGACUCCUACGGGAGGCAGCAGUGGGGAAUAUUGGACAAUGGGCGAAAGCCUGAUCCAGCCAUGCCGCGUGUGUGAAGAAGGUCUUCGGAUUGUAAAGCACUUUAAGUUGGGAGGAAGGGCAGUUACCUAAUACGUAAUUGUUUUGACGUUACCGACAGAAUAAGCACCGGCUAACUCUGUGCCAGCAGCCGCGGUAAUACAGAGGGUGCAAGCGUUAAUCGGAAUUACUGGGCGUAAAGCGCGCGUAGGUGGUUCGUUAAGUUGGAUGUGAAAUCCCCGGGCUCAACCUGGGAACUGCAUUCAAAACUGUCGAGCUAGAGUAUGGUAGAGGGUGGUGGAAUUUCCUGUGUAGCGGUGAAAUGCGUAGAUAUAGGAAGGAACACCAGUGGCGAAGGCGACCACCUGGACUGAUA